CAUUUUUUCACUUAUGCUCAAGGUAAAGCACAGGGGAUUUGCUUGGGACCAGCCAGUCGAUAGGUGGAACUGGACUAAAGUUGUGGUCAGAAGAAAUAAUCUGGGUGGGUUUGCUGUAUUUUUCACCAUGCUGAAAACUUGUUGAAGAUGGUAUUUUCCCCACUGGUUCUGACCUAUUGGAAAAGGCAAGAUUUAAGAGAUGGUUCAAAGAUUUUCCUGCCCCAUCCCACCUGUGUGAACUAAGGAAGGAUUGGCUGGAAUUGCUGCCAAGGAUGUGUGGAACAGCCAGAAUUCAUCUCACCUGGGUUUGACUGAGGAGUCCAACCCACCCACCCCAGGUAGCACAGGGAUUUACACUACUGUGAUGUCACUGCUACAACAACCUCACCAGCAGAAACAUCAAAAUCAAGGGGAACACAUUCUUAGCACGCUUUGGACAAUGCUCUUGGGCACAUGGCUUGAUUCUUGGGACCGUCUUGUGCUGGGCCAGGAGUUGGACUUUGGUGAACUGAGUGGGUCCCUUCCAACUCAAGGCUGGAGACAAAGUGUUAAGUUACUGGACUUCCAUGCUCUGGAAAGCUGCCUUGCAUCUCUAUUUUAAAGCAUGAUUCCUGUUUCCAAGUAAGCAAGAAAGAGAGAAAGAGGUGACCUUUGCAGCUGCCAUUUUGAAAAAAACCUCUUCAAAGGUUGUUAGGAGAGAAGCCAGAAACCUGGGACGGCAAAACAGAAGAAAAUGAAAACCCUUUGUGCUGCAGGGAGAGAUGUUUUGCCAAAAGAUGGUGGCAACACAUCCUCUACGGGAUUUGUGUGGCUCUCUGGGCACAAGGAGCAGCAGGAGGUCAUGCUGAGAUUGCUUGUGAUGACUCACUGCAGACAAGAAGAAUGAUUCCAAGGCAACAGAUUCCAGCAUUUUAAUCUUCCCACCAGUCUCCCAGAGACUCUUGUUGCCUUCAGCACUGCGUGGAAACACAGGUUUCUCUGGGAUUCUGAUUUCCUUUUCCAAAACAGGCCCUCCCAGCAACGCAGCAGUGAGAUGUUAAGAAUUUAGAGAAGAAGAUGUAAAUUGCUUGGAAGAGAUCUGCAAGAGACAUGAAAUGACUGCAGC